CCUACGGGUGGCAGCAGUGAGGAAUAUUGGUCAAUGGGCGAAAGCCUGAACCAGCCAAGUCGCGUGAGGGAAGACGGUCCUAUGGAUUGUAAACCUCUUUUGUCGGGGAGCAAAGAGGCCACGUGUGGCCGAAGUGAGAGUACCUGAAGAAAAAGCAUCGGCUAACUCCGUGCCAGCAGCCGCGGUAAUACGGAGGAUGCGAGCGUUAUCCGGAUUUAUUGGGUUUAAAGGGUGCGUAGGCGGGACGUUAAGUCAGCGGUAAAAUCGAGGGGCUCAACCCCGUCAAGCCGUUGAAACUGGCGAGCUGGAGUGGGCGUGAAGUAUGCGGAAUGUGUGGUGUAGCGGUGAAAUGCAUAGAUAUCACGCAGAACUCCGAUUGCGAAGGCAGCAUACCGGCGCCCGACUGACGCUGAGGCACGAAAGCGUGGGGAUCGAACAGGAUUAGAUACCCCAGUAGUC
rnacentral:rRNA from 1 species